rnacentral:rRNA from 1 species
UACGUAGGGGGCAAGCGUUGUCCGGAUUUAUUGGGCGUAAAGAGCGUGUAGGCGGCCAAGCAGGUCCGCUGUGAAAACUCGAGGCUCAACCUCGAGACGUCGGUGGAAACCGUUUGGCUAGAGUCCGGAAGAGGAGAGUGGAAUUCCCGGUGUAGCGGUGAAAUGCGCAGAUAUCGGGAAGAACACCCGUGGCGAAGGCGGCUCUCUGGGACGGUACUGACGCUGAGACGCGAAGGCGUGGGGAGCGAACAGG